rnacentral:rRNA from 1 species
UACAGAGGUCUCAAGCGUUGUUCGGAUUCAUUGGGCGUAAAGGGUGCGUAGGCGGCGCGGUAAGUCGGGUGUGAAAUCUUCGGAGCUUAACUCCGAACUGCAUUCGAUACUGCCGUGCUUGAGGACUGGAGAGGAGACUGGAAUUUACGGUGUAGCGGUGAAAUGCGUAGAUAUCGUAAGGAAGACCAGUGGCGAAGGCGGGUCUCUGGACAGUUCCUGACGCUGAGGCACGAAGGCCAGGGGAGCAAACGGG